UAUCUAGUUGGCUGUCAGUCAC
rnacentral:miRNA from 1 species